rnacentral:rRNA from 1 species
AGUGAACGCUGGCGGUAGGCCUAACACAUGCAAGUCGAACGGCAACACAGUAAGAGCUUGCUCUUACGGGUGGCGAGUGGCGGACGGGUGAGGAAUGCAUCGGAAUCUACUUUUUCGUGGGGCAUAACGUAGGGAAACUUACGAUAAUACAGCAUACGACGCACGGGUGAAAGCAUGGGAACUUCGGACCGUGCGCGGUUGAAUGAGCCGAUGUCGGAUUAGCUAGUUGGCGGGGUAAAGGCCAACCAAGGCGACGAUCCGUAGCUGGACUGAGAGACGGGUAGCCGACCUUGGAAGGGGAACAGCGACAUGGCGCCUGCGGGAGGCACCAGUGGGCAAUGUUGGGCAGUGGGCGGAAGCCUUACCCAGUCAUCGCGCGUGGGUGAAGGAAGCGUUGGGGUCGUGAAGCCCUUUUGUUGGGUAAGAACAGCAGCAGGUUGAGACCCCGCUGUUCUGACGGUACUCAAAAAAUAAGCACCGGCUAACUUCGUG